rnacentral:rRNA from 1 species
CAGCCGCCGCGGGAAUACGGAGGGAGCUAGCGUUGUUCGGAAUCACUGGGCGUAAAGCGCACGUAGGCGGCUAUUCAAGUCAGGGGUGAAAGCCCGGGGCUCAACCCCGGAACUGCCUUUGAAACUAGAUAGCUUGAAUCUUGGAGAGGCGAGUGGAAUUCCGAGUGUAGAGGUGAAAUUCGUAGAUAUUCGGAAGAACACCAGUGGCGAAGGCGACUCGCUGGACAAGUAUUGACGCUGAGGUGCGAGAGCGUGGGGAGCAAACAGGAUUAGAUACCCCCGUAGUCCCUGUCUCUUAUAC